rnacentral:misc_RNA from 1 species
GGAAGGAUCAUUACCCAUCAUCCAGUGUGGUCGCGGCCUCCGGGUUCUUCCCGGGCGGUAGAGGUAACACUCUCACGCGCCACGCGUUUGAAUCCUUUUUUUUACGAGCACCUUUCGUUCUCCUUCGGUGGGGCAACCUACCGUUGGAAUCAUACAAAAACCUUUUUUGCAUCUAGCAUUACCUGUUCCGAUAACAAACAAUCGUUACAACUUUCAACAAUGGAUCUCUUGGCUCUGGCAUCGAUGAAGAACGCAGCGAAAUGCGAUAAGUAGUGUGAAUUGCAGAAUUCAGUGAAUCAUCGAAUCUUUGAACGCACAUUGCGCCCCUUGGUAUUCCAUGGGGCAUGCCUGUUCGAGCGUCAUCUACACCCUCAAGCUCUGCUUGGUGUUGGGCGUCUGUCCCGCCUCGGCGCGCGGACUCGCCCCAAAUUCAUUGGCAGCGGUCUUUGCCUCCUCUCGCGCAGCACAUUGCGCUUCUCGAGGUGCUUGCGAGGCCCGCGUCCACGAAGCAUUACCAGUCUUUGACCUCGGAUCAGGUAGGGAUACCCGCUGAACUUAAGCAUAUCAAUAAGCGGAGGAAAAGAAACCAACAGGGAUUGCCCUAGUAACGGCGAGUGAAGCGGCAACAGCUCAAAUUUGAAAUCUGGCUCCUUUUAGGGGUCCGAGUUGUAAUUUGCAGAGGGUGCUUUGGCAUCGGCGGCGGUCUAAGUUCCUUGGAACAGGACAUCACAGAGGGUGAGAAUCCCGUACGUGGGCGCCUGCCUUUGCCGUGUAAAGCCCCUUCGACGAGUCGAGUUGUUUGGGAAUGCAGCUCUAAAUGGGAGGUAAAUUUCUUCUAAAGCUAAAUACCGGCCAGAGACCGAUAGCGCACAAGUAGAGUGAUCGAAAGAUGAAAAGUACUUUGGAAAGAGAGUCAAAUAGCACGUGAAAUUGUUGAAAGGGAAGCGCUUGCAGCCAGACUUGCCCGCAGUUGCUCACCUAGGCUUUGGCCUGGGGCACUCUUCUGCGGGCAGGCCAGCAUCAGUUUGGGCGGUCGGAUAAAGGCCUCUGUCACGUAUCUCCCUUCGGGGUGACCUUAUAGGGGAGGCGUAAUGCGACCAGCCCGGACUGAGGUCCGCGCAUCUGCUAGGAUGCUGGCGUAAUGGCUGUAAGCGGCCCGUCUUGAAACACGGACCAAGGAGUCUAACAUCUAUGCGAGUGUUUGGGUGUCAAGCCCGAGCGCGCAAUGAAAGUGAACGGAGGUGGGAACCCUUUGGGUGCACCAUCGACCGAUCCUGAUGUCUUCGGAUGGAUUUGAGUAAGAGCAUAGCUGUUGGGACCCGAAAGAUGGUGAACUAUGCUUGAAUAGGGUGAAGCCAGAGGAAACUCUGGUGGAGGCUCGCAGCGGUUCUGACGUGCAAAUCGAUCGUCAAAUUUGGGCAUAGGGGCGAAAGACUAAUCGAACCAUCUAGUAGCUGGUUCCUGC